UGAGCUUAGUCCCGUGAUUUAAGACAAUCUGCGAUUUGUAUGUAGAGGUUGGGGUACCGACGUUGGUGACGGUUCGGUUGAAACUGAUGGUGAAGGAGCUAUUAGUUUUCGAAAGUUUAGCCGACAUUGAAGGAUAGUUGAGGUUUCUUGGUAAGGUGUUUCCAGUGCAAGUGACGGCUUCACCGGUAAUGAGUCUAAGGGUUUUGGAAGUGUAGUUCAAGCCGCAGAGAAAGGUGAUGUGGUCUGCUUUGUCCAGUUCAUAGACAAGUCCAGGAUUUAGAGCAGCUAUUGGGUCGACAUGGCCAGCUCCAUAAGCAAACUCGGUUGAUGAAACUCCAAUGUCAGAAGCAUUCAUCGACCAAGCUGCAAAUAUUAAUUAAGAGACACCAUAUAAGAACGGAGUUAUCAGCCAGAAGGUUACUUGUGCUACAAGAAACUAAAAGCUGGAUAUGAGUUUGGCGUACCGGUUGUCAUGAUGGCAGAUUGGAUCACGGAUGGAGACCAGUCAGGAUGAAAAGUCUUGAUGUAUGCAGCCACGCCUGUGACGUGUGGACAAGACAUUGAAGUUCCAGAUAGAACAGAGUACUUCACAUGUCUCUGGUCGAUAUCUUCUGUAGGUGAACCCAAAGGUGAAUAGGCAGCGAGAAUCUCCACUCCUGGUGCUGUUAUAUCUGGCUGCAUUUCACUCAACUUUUGUUUCUCAAACCCAUAUUUGUAAAUAAGACGGAACAAAGAUAAAAACAGUAUUAUAUGUCACCUUAAGAAGGUCAACAGCGAUAGUGUUUGGACCGCGAGAAGAGAAUGAAACAACUUUAGGAGCUUUCUGAUUAAAGACUGCCUCAGUUUUUAGAACAGUACCUUGGGUGGACCUGAGAAUAACAAACAUAGAUGUAUCAGGACAAACGAAAAAUCUGGAGAAAUUGUUAAGUGCAUGAAAUAUAUAUAUAUGUAUAUAUAUAUAGAGAGAGAGCUACUUUGUUGAGUUAACGUAAGAGACAAGAAACUCAAAGUCAUCUGGUGAUAGAGCAGAGAGAGGACGAGAGCUAAUGGAUGCAUAGUCUUUGUAGUCUCUAAUUAUGGUUGCAACAGCUACAUCUGAACUAACUGAGUAUCCGCUCACCAAUAUUUUGCCCUUGACCUGAGAUCCUUCGAUAUAAUCUCCGUAGAUAAGAGGAUAGUUCUUUCCCUUCAGAUCAAAAGCAUUCACUGAUCUCCCCUUUUCAAGACAAAAACAAAAGAGUCAUUUGAAGGGACAGAGAAAAUACUAUUAUCAUAGGAAUGUUACUUGAUACUUACGGAAAGUGUCUUGCUGUUUUGGAGAACAACUUUGGUGAGAAACUCACGGUUGGUUGUACUGGCUGCAACGGUUAAUAUCCACGGCGCUACGCUUCCGACUGUGUUUGGAUCUGGACCGCUGUUACCGGCUGAAUUCACAGUGAGGAUCCCUUUGGCCAUAGCAUGGAAAGCCCCGAUCGCAAUCGUGUCCUCUUCGUACCUAAGGACCUCACCGUCGUCUCCCCCUAGGGAGACGCUGAUGAGGUCGACACCAUCUGCUAUCGCGUCAUCGAAUGCAGACAGUACAGCUUCUGAACCACACUCUGUGCCGGUGCAGACUUUGUAAGAAGCGAUUCUAGCAGCUGGAACGCCGCCUCUAGCCGUUCCAUUGCCAAUUCCAAAGAAGCUUGCCCCCGCAACUGCGUUACCAGCCGCAGUGGAUGAUGUGUGUGUACCGUGGCCUUGGUUGUCCCUGGUGCCUUCGCCUGUGUAGUCUCUUGCUCCGAUCAACUUGCUGAAACAUUGUAAACAACAUCAGUCUCUUCUUUAUAAACAAUACUAAUAUUAUAAGAUAGACAUUUUGGAGAAUUACUUGUUGCAAGUGAAGUUUUUGCCGCCAGAACAAACACCUUUCCAUUUUUUCGGAGGAGGACCAAAGCCUUUGUCGGAGAAGCUCUCGGACUCUGGCCAAAUCCCUGUGUCAAUGAGACCGAUGAUAGUAUCACUCUCUACUGCCAAGUUUCGCUUUGUAUUCUUUCCUUCCUUUAACCCCAUGAAGUCCCAAGACGCAGUCGUUUGGAUUUGUAACUUCUUGCUCCUGAACACUGACACAACUCCUUCCAUUUCUAAGACAAAAUGAGACAUUGGUUUCAGUUAUCGAACAAUAUAAGUGUGUGUACGUUAAAAAGAUAAGUGUGUCUCUGUCAAAUAUUACUCACCAGCUAUUCUUUCUCGUUCUGGCUCAGAGAGCCGGGCAGCGAACCCAUUGAAACUCCUCUUGUAACUUCUCAUCAAACGACCGUCGAUCAAACUGUAGAUAUAAAUAUUUGUGUAUUAUGUAUGUAUCACUUGUUAGAAUCCUCAUCAUAACAUAAACUAAUUAUAACUUAUUAAUGAUUAGAAAAUGAAUCUGUUAAUUAGCACCUUUCUCCAGUGAUCUCUUGAAGGAUGCUCAUGUGAUGAGACAUUGGUGAGUAUUCUAGCCCAGACGGAAGUGAUCCCAUGUAGACAAUAUAGACCUUCAUGAAUUAUAUUAUAUUAUCAUGUAUGCUGGAUUGGAUUCAAAUAAUAAUAAGAAUAAACAAAAUAAUUUCGUUAAUUAUGAGACGAUACCUGUUUAUCUUGAGGAUCAUCUGCAACUGCUGAGACUGAACUCAAGAACAAGACGAGGACACAUGAGAGGAGACAAAAUGAGUUUGCUGGUAGUUUCUCCAUUUCUUAUAAUAUGAAACUAAAGGUUUCUGUAAUAUGUAAAUAUCUAUGGGAUCGACAUGAUAAUAUGCAUAAAUAGUAGAAUCAUUCCUAAACUCCUCUGGAUCUAUUUAUUAUUGCUAUUAUAUAUUACCAUAAUAUGAAGGACAUUUAUAUCAAUGAUAUCAUUGAACAUUGACUUGUUUUAGUCAACAUUGUAUUGUAUAUAUCUAUACAAUUAAAACAUAAAGCUUUCUGAGACACCUUUCUAUUUUGCAAAUAUUUACAUUCUACUGCCACUGGUUUAUUUAAAUCAAAUUUUAUUUAUAUAUAUUUUCACGAUAAACUUUUUAAUUCAACAAUCUCUAGAAACCAUGAAAAGAAUUCAAAUAUUUUAACUAAAUUAUUUUUAUUUGUUAACAUAAUCAGUUAGGCAUGGGCAUUCAGGUAUAUGGUUCAGAUACAGAUCGAUAUUUACGGGAAUCGAGUUUUAGGACUUUAAAAUUAAAUUAUGUUCUGGUAUUAUAAAUUUUCAAACAUGGUUGGGUCCGGAUAAGUUUUUAUGAAGCUAAAAAUAUCUAAAUAACAUAUAUGAUUAAAAAUGUCAUUAAACAAUUUAUAAAAAUAAACCCGCACGGGCAUGCGGAUCAAACUCUAGUCUAUACUAUUAAAACAUAAAACUUUUUUUGAGGUGCCUUUGUAUUUUUUAAAUAUUUACAUUUCAGUGCCAAUGGCUUAUUUAAAUCCCUAUGAUUUUAUUUAUAUACAUUUUUCACGAUAAACUUUUUAAUUCAACAAAUCAUUAUUUUUAAUAUAUUUUUAUUUUGAGUUUAAUUAAUUAACAUAUCUACGUAUCUACUAUGCUAAGUUUUAAGCUUGCAAAUACAAACCAUAAAUUAUUAUAUAUUUCCUAAUAUGGCUGCAAAAUAAACCAUAAACCAUAUGCUAUGAUAGAUGUUUAAUGUAAUACAAACCAUAAAUUAUUCACUUAUUCUAUUUUUUUUUCUUUUAUAUCAAAUGAUAAUAUUAUGAGAGAUGUUUAAUGUAAUACUUCUAUUUCUUAUAUUCUAUAUUUACUUAUUAUAUACUUUAGUAUACAUUUUUCUAGGGGUGGGCAAAAAAAUCGAACCAAACCGAGUUAAACCGAACCAACCGAACUGAAACCGAUUCAAACCAAACCAAAGUCUAUUUCAAACCAUUUGGUCGAAGAUUUCCCUAACACGAAUGGUUUGGUUCGGUUCGGUUUAAAACCAAACCGAUGUGUUUUUGUAAUUAUUUAAAUUAAAAAUAUUAGUAAUACCAAUAUACUAAAAUUCUAAUACUAAACCACAUAUUUUCCAUUUUUAUUCAUUGACAUAUAUUCUUCUAACCUAAUAUGUAAUCAUCAAAAUAUUUGAUUUAAAAUAUUUUAUUCAUUGUAGGCUUUUUGAUUUUAUGAUAUAAGAUACAUUACUAAUGAUGUUGAGUUUUUUUUACUUUAGUUAAUUUUCAUUUACUUUAGUUAUAUUGAAUUUAGUUCACAUUUAUGUUUACAUAAUUAAUCUUGUAAAACAUAAUUUCUCUUAGAAAAAUUAAACUAAGAAGAAUCUAAUUAAACUGAUCAAAAAAAACAAACUGAACCGAAUACAAACCGAACCGAAUACAAAUCGAACCGAAUACAAACCAAACCAAACUAACUAUGGUUUACUUCAGUUGGAAAAAUACUAGAACCAAACCAACCAAACCAAACCGAAUCCGAACAGAACCGAGAAAAUAACCGAAGUGCCCACCCCUACAUUUUUCAGAUAGAUAUUUAUGUUUUUUUUCUAUAUAUUGUAUAUUUAUUUAUUCUUUAUUUUUUACUCUAAUAUUAUGAUAGAUGUUUAAUGUAAUAUUUUUAUUUCUUAUACUAUAUAUUUAAUUAUAUUUAUUUUACCAUACAUUUUUCAGAUAGAUGUUUAAUUUAGUUUAUCCAUUUCUGAUAUUGUAUAUUACCUUAUUGUUUAUUUUUUCUUAUAUUGUAUAUUUACUUAUUCUAUUUUUUUUUUGCUUUUAUAUCAAAUGAUAGUAUUACAUUAGAUAUUUAAUGUAAUAUUUAUAUUUCUUAUAUUAAAUAUUUACUUAUAGUUUAGUUUUUCUUAUAUUGUAUAUUUAUUUAUUCUAAUAUUACGAUAUAUGUUUAAUAUAAUAUUUUUAUUUCUUAUAUUGUAUAUUAACUUAUUAUUUAUUUUACUAUACAUAUUUCAGAGAGAUGUUUAGUUCUUUUUUUUCAUUUAUUAAUUGUAUUUUACUUAUUAUAUAUUUUUCUUAUAUUGUAUAUUUAAUUAUUCUAUUUGUUUUGCUUUUAUAUCAAAUGAUAAUAUUAUGAUAGAUGCUUAAUGUAAUAUUUCUAUUUCUUAUAUUGUAUGCUGGUUUUUUUUAUAUUGUAUAUUUACUUAUAACAAUAUUUGGAAAUAAUAAAAUGUAAAACUAUACAUUUUUCUCAUAGAUUUUUAAUAUAGUUUUUAAAUUUCUUAUAUUGUAUAUUUACUUAUUUUUUAUAUAUUGUAUAUAUACUUAUUCUAAUUCUUUUGAUUUUAUAUCAAAUUGUAAUAUUAUGACAGAUGUUUAAUGCAAUAUUUCUAUUUUUAUAUUGUAUAUUUACUUAUUAUUUAUUUUAUUAUACAUUUUCAAAUAGAUAAUUAAUGUAAUAUUUAUUUCUUAUAUUAAAUAUUUACUUAUUGUUUAGUUUUUCUUAUAUUUUAUAUUUAUUUAUUCUAAUAUUCCGAUAGAUGUUUAAUAUAAUAUUUGUAUUUCUUAUAUUGUAUAUUAACUUAUUAUUUAUUUUACUAUACAAUUUUCAAAUAGAUUUUUUUUUUAAUUUAGUUAUUCUAUUUUUCUAUUAUAUAUUUACUUUUUUUGUAUAAUGUAUAUUUUCUUAUUAUUUAUUUUUUCUUACAUUGUAUUUUUGCUUAUUUUAAUAUUACGAUAAAUGUUUAAUAUAAUAUUUUUAUUUCUUAUAUUGUAUAUUUAUUUAUUAUUUAUUUUCCUGUACAUCUUUGACAUAUAUGUUUAAUUUAGUUUUUUUAAUUUUUUAAUUGUAUAUUUAUUUAUUGUUUAUUUUUUCUUAUAUUGUAUAUUUACUUAUUCUAAUUUUUUUGCUUUUAUAUCAAAUGAUAAUAUUAUGAUAUAUAUGUGUAAUAUUUCUAUUUCUUUUAUUGUACUCUCUUCGUUUCAUAAUAAAUGAUUUUUUUGAAAAAAAUAUUGUUGUUUCAAAAUAGAUGUUUUGAUAUUUUAUGUUAUUUUUAACUUUACUGAAAAUUGUGUAACUAAUUAGAUGUUGCAGUCAUUUUUGUAAUUGGUUAAAUGAUUUUAAAAUUAUAUUUUUAAAACAAGUAUUCAGAGAAAAGUAAAUUUCUUACUCUUUACGCACUAAGAGAAAACAUCAUGUAUUGUGAAACGGAAAGAGUAUAUUUAAUUAUUAUUUAUUUUUCCUAUAUUGUAUAUUUACCUGUUAUUUAUUUUUUUGCUUUUUAGUAAUAAUGUCAUGUGGUUUCUUUUGGAAGAAGAAUUUUAUGCUGAUGUGGACACUGCAAAGAGCCUCAAAUAGUCUAUUUUAUUAGUAUAGAGACAAAAUCCAAAGGGGAUUGAGAGUUCCAAACAAAAUAAAGUUGAAUCUUGUUCCUGCAUCGUCUAUCUUCUUCUGUUUCACGAAACCGAGGAAGAAGAAGACUUAUUUACAAGUUUACCAUUGAGUUAAAACAAAAGAAAUAUUAAAUAAAAUAAAAAAGUAACGUAACACUGUUCAAACUCUAGAUAAAUUGAAUCAAACCACAUUACUGUCCACUACACCACGUUUACAACUGAGUUAUCUUACAAAAAUUUAAUAUAUAAUAUGUCACAUUGCUUAUAUAGUUACAUACUUACAUAUACCCUUAUAUAUAUAUUGAAAUGUACAUGUAAAAAAGGCUUGAAAACUAGGCCCCGCGUAUUCCCCGUUUAAUCUCCGAUUUUUCGGUAACUCGCUAGGCUUGGACCAGCCGCCCGACUUACGCCUAGCGUAGUUUUGAAUAUGGCUCUAAACUCUAAGAGCACCCCCAUUGAAAGUAUCUACCUCAAAAUAUCUAAAAGUACAUAUUAUGUACAUAUAUAUAUUUUAUAUGUGUAUGUAAUCGCAUAACUCAAAGUAUCUGAAACCAGCCCAGCUCUAGAUUUUAGACUGUGAACUUCAGCUAUAUAACUGUGCUUAGGAGAUAAGACAUUAGAUCAUCUUUAUCCCUCUACAAAAAGGGCUGCUUAUGGCCUGGGGACCCACCAAAAACACAAGCAACAUCCCUUCCGCAUGUAAAAUAAGCACCCAGUUUUCUUUGUUGCUUGUACUGUUCGCGGGACCCAACAACACGUGGCGGUCCGCAGUUAGUGCAUUUUUUAAUUUUUUUUUUCUUCAGACAGAAAAAAAAAUUUUAAGCAAUUCAUGAUUGCUGGGAUAAUGAUGCUGUUAGCUCAGACCAACAGAAAAAAGAGUUAAGACAUUAGCAUAUGUCGGAAGCCAAGAGAUCAGACAUAGAAUCAACGAGAUUACUCAAACAUAAGGAUUAUAUUGAUUUAUUAUAUUAAAUAUUAUCAGACUGAAUCAGGAAUAUCAGUAUAAACAACAAUGGGGCUUCUAACUUUAUGGGUGCCAUCAGACCAUAUUAAACUUGCAGAAGAAGGCAGCUUUGGGUCGAUAUUGCUGCCUGAAACAGUCACGGUGAAAGACUGCUUCUCGUUCACCGACUUCAUAAACAGGACAUCAGGUGAAACCUUGACACUGAGCUUAGUCCCGUGAUUUAAGACAAUCUGCGAUUUGUAUGUAGAGUUGGGGGUACCGACGUUGGUGACGGUUCGGUUGAAACUGAUGGUGAAGGAGCUAUUAGUUUUCGAAAGUUUAGCCGACAUUGAAGGAUAGUUGAGGUUUCUUGGUAAGGUGUUUCCAGUGCAAGUGACAGCUUCACCGGUAAUGAGUUUAAGGGUUUUGGAAGUGUAGUUCAAGCCGCAGAGAAAGGUGAUGUGGUCUGCUUUGUCCAGUUCAUAGACAAGUCCAGGAUUUAGAGCAGCUAUUGGGUCGACAUGGCCAGCUCCAUAAGCAAACUCGGUUGAUGCAACCCCAGUGUCAGAAGCAUUCAUCGACCAAGCUGCAAAUGUUAAUUAAGAGACACUGAUAAUAACUAAUAAGUCCUAUAAUAAAUUUUCCUUGUAAAUAUUCAUUUUUGAUGUAAUUUUUAAAAUAUGGUAAUGUAAUAUAUAUAUAUAUAUAUAUAUCACAUUAGUAAGAAUUAAAUUAGAUAUAAUUACAAAUAUAAAAAUCACAUCAAGUUAUAUAUUUUAUUUUUGUAUAAAUGUUUAUAUUUUAUCAAAAUUAAUUGUAAAUAUGUACCAAUACCAAAUUAAAGCCGUACUAGUCAAAUUGUUUUGUUGAUAAUUAAAUGAUUGCAAUUUUAUUAAAAUUUCUUGUUUAUUAGUUUAAUUAGAGAAUAUACCUUAUAAUUAAUAUUUUCUCAUUUUGUUGGGUCCUAAAAUCUUAUAAAAAUGGGUUUUAUGUGGGUGUAAGUUUCACUUUCACCGACUGCAAUCCUUCGAGAUUGCAUUAUAUUCUUGUGUUUUUUUGCCAUCUCAAUGAUUUUAUUGAUCACAAAUUACAAAUUGUUUUAUGAAAGACGGACAAGAAUGGAACAAACUCCAAUCUUGAUUUUGUAAGAUAACUGUUUUGGCUAAUUUAUCAGCAACUGUAUUUCCUUGUCGUCGCGUAUGUUGAAAAACCGUGGAAGAUUGCAUUAUAUUCGUUAAGUUUUAGAGGAAUUCUAAAAUAAUUUAAGAAAAUAAAAUUUAAAAAAAAAAAGUAAGAGAGAGGCAAAGAAAAAGGAAGUAAGGACCGGUAUCGAACUUAAUCUUCCAGCUGUCGAGAUGUGAAUGGUUUUGCUUUUUACAAAUUACUAAAAUUUAACUAUCUAUUAAAAAUCUAUUAAAAGAAUAAUAAUUAACAACUGAGAUGGUUGUUUUGGGUUUCUACCCGUUGAGGCUACUCUUGUUGAUUUUUUUUAACGCUGAUUUAUUAGGAUAUUACAAUUAUGAUAUGAGAAAAAUUACAUAAGACAAUUCGACAACUGACAAUAUUAUCUGCCUUAUGAAGACUUAUGUUUAACUGCAUCACCUAAGACGUUCUACAAAGAUCCACGCCAUAGCAGAUUUACUUGCACCAUAUUGAAUAUCUCUUAUAAGCUUUUCUGUCGUGUAGUCUGCAUAAUUGUUUAAUAAAUCGCUCUUUCCGGGAUUUGAAACUUGGAUUUUCUGUAAUCUGCAAGAAAUUAUAUAGUCUGAGAUUCAAACCCCAUACCUGGGUGUAGAAAUUUUUUAAAGCUUAACCAGUAGACUACGGUGCUUCCACAGCUCUUGUUGAUUUUAGACCGUGAAUUUCAGCUAUAUAACUGUGCUUAAGAGUUAAGACAUUAGCUUCGACCAAAAGAGUCAAGACAUUAUUAGCAUAUAUCGGAAGCCAAGAGAUCAGACAUAGAAUCAACGAGAUUACUCAAACAUAAGGAUUAUAUUGAUUUAUUAUAUUAAAUAUUAUCAGAUUGAAUCAGGAAUAUCAGUAUAAACAACAAUGGGGCUUCUAACAUUAUGGGUGCCAUCAGACCAUAUUAAACUUGCAGAAGAAGGCAGGUUUGGGUCGAUAUUGUCGCCUGAAACAGUCACGGUGAAAGACUGCUUCUCGUUCACCGACUUCAUAAACAGGACAUCAGGUGAAACCUUGACACUGAGCUUUGUCCCGUGAUUUAAGACAACCUGCGAUUUGUAUGUAGAGGUUGGGGUACCGACGUUGGUGACGGUUCUGUUGAAACUGAUGGUGAAGGAGCUAUUAGUUUUCGAAAGUUUAGCCGACAUUGAAGGAUAGUUGAGGUUUCUUGGUAAGGUGUUUCCAGUGCAAGUGACAGCUUCACCGGUAAUGAGUUUAAGGGUUUUCGAUGUGUAGUUCAAGCCGCAGAGAAAGGUGAUGUGGUCUGCUUUGUCCAGUUCAUAGACAAGUCCAGGAUUUAGAGCAGCUAUUGGAUCCACAUGUCCAGCUCCAUAAGCGAACUCGGUUGAUGCAAC
rnacentral:lncRNA from 1 species